GAUGAACGCUGGCGGCGUGCCUAAUACAUGCAAGUCGAGCGAACAGACGAGGAGCUUGCUCCUUUGACGUUAGCGGCGGACGGGUGAGUAACACGUGGAUAACCUACCUAUAAGACUGGGAUAACUUCGGGAAACCGGAGCUAAUACCGGAUAACAUGUUGAACCGCAUGGUUCAACAGUGAAAGACGGUCUUGCUGUCACUUAUAGAUGGAUCCGCGCCGCAUUAGCUAGUUGGUAAGGUAACGGCUUACCAAGGCAACGAUGCGUAGCCGACCUGAGAGGGUGAUCGGCCACACUGGAACUGAGACACGGUCCAGACUCCUACGGGAGGCAGCAGUAGGGAACCUUCCGCAAUGGGCGAAAGCCUGACGGAGCAACGCCGCGUGAGUGAAGAAGGUCUUCGGAUCGUAAAACUCUGUUAUUAGGGAAGAACAAAUGUGUAAGUAACUAUGCACGUCUUGACGGUACCUAAUCAGAAAGCCACGGCUAACUACGUG
rnacentral:rRNA from 1 species